GAACAACCUGACACCACUGGGUGAAAUUAGGAGUUUAGCUUUGAACCUAUUAGGUCUGCGGGGCCUGUUUCAAGUGGAAGACAAGCCGCAGGGAAAUACCUGGAGGCUGGAGGGCUCCAGGCUAGGGAUGUAACUGUGAGAGUCCUCAGCAGAGAGGUGGCCUGUGAGCUCAGCAACUGGCUUAGACGACACUGGGUGAGUGUAGCCAGAGAGGAGGCCCCGGGUCUGAGCCACCGCCGAGGUGUCAGGCAACAAAGGGACAACUAGCCAGGAGACUGACCAGGGCAGUAGGAGGCAAGAAGAAAGCCCGAGAUUGCGGAUUGAGGGAGAGGUGACAGGGAUUGAGGAGGAGGCCAGAACACUCCAGAGUGGGCGCGCAUAUGCACAAGAAGGAAGUGCAGUGUGGCCGCUGGGCAGCUGAGGCCCAUCUGAGGCAAAUGGCCUUGAACUUACACCACUCCACCUGCAGAAGGAGGGACGGUGGACAUCACACACACGACUGGCUCCAUUUCCUGAACAAUCUCGUAUCCACAGUCACUUCCCAAAGCUGCACAUUUUGGAAGAAUGUUCUCUGGAGACAUCCUAGUGAGAACAGAGUCUGGACCUUCCUCACCCUCCCAGGCCUGAGAGCCUCUGCCUUAUCUGGGGUCCAGUGCCGCCUGGGGAGUAAGGUGAGUAACAACUCGAGAGGGCUAAAGGCACAGAGAGGCAUGGUAUCCCCGCCGAUUGGAAAGAAAAGGAACUAAGACCCAUGCCUCCAAGUUCCUGCAGGGGGCGCUGGGAAGGCGAAGGACAGCAGGAAGACCAGGUGUUAGAAAUAAACAGAGCCAACCGUGGGUCUCCACCAUCACCAGGAACCACCCAGCAACUUGCUGAACAGCAAUCACCACCCCCCACCCCAAACCCUGCAACUUGGCAAGGAGGGGUCAGAGGAGGGAGCAGCUCUGCCCAGGAGUCAAACCAGAAAAUCUUACUCCAAAAUAAAUAAAACCAGAGAGAGACUUUUCAUUGUCAAGUUUACACUCACCCCACACUACCAGGAGAGUGGGAGGGAGACAAUGAGGAAGUUUAGAACAGUAGCAGAGAAAUAAAGAAGCUACAAGUGUUGGUGUGGGAUCUAAACAGGAGUCUGAGUUUUCAGCUGUUACGCGGAUCUUUGCAGUAGGAUGUUGUUUGUAAUAAGGUGGGACACUCAAGGAAGACGUCCUGGAGGAGAGGGCAUCCUGGUGACUCCUGCAGAGGAUGAAGGAUGAAGGGUGGGGGUGGGGAAGCACAGCAGCUGCCUCUUGCAGGGCGGAAGGUGCCUUGCCUGCAAGCUGGCAAAGCCCUGAAGCACCAAGGGGUUUUGGCAUUUCAGGCUUUGAAUGCCAAAGCAUUUGAUCUGUGCCAGAAGUUCCAGAACUUUCAUUUGGUGCCGUUUUAUAUUUGACCACCAACCAAUUUUUAAUCCACAGUCUUUUUGCAUAUGCGUCCUUCAGUUCACAUCCUUAGAAUAAAGAGCCCGCCCAUAAUUAUAUUCCACCGCCUCCUACUCCUCCACCCACCCAUACACACGGUAGGUCACAUGUAGAUUCUAUGGUGAACAAUUUGGGAGAAAACUCAGGCAUAAAAAGGAAAGAAAUACAGACACAUGCUACUACAUGGAUGACCCUGCUGAAUGAAAGAAGCCAGACACACAAGGCCACAUAUUGUAUGAUUCCAUUUAUAGGAGAUGUCCAGGACAGGCAAAUCCAUAGAGACAGGGAGCAG